CGCACAGCUGGCUGGCUCAUAGUUCCAAUCGUCAGCAUCAACUCUCAGGACCUGCUUUAUAAGAAAUCUCUGCCUCAAGAGGCCUGUCCAGCCUCUGUGAAUACUGCUUGUGAGCCUCCUGAUGCCAAAGAGACUGACUUCUGCCCAGCCAGCGUGGCUCAGUGGUUGAGCAUCAACCUAUGAGCCAGGAGGUCACAGUUUGAUUCCUGGUCAGGGUAUAUGCCCAGGUUGUGGGCUCAAUCCCCAAUGUGAGGUGUGCAGGAUGAUUCUCUCUCAUCAUUGAUGUUUCUAUCUAUCUCUUCAUCUCCCUCCCUCUCUGAAAUCAAUAA